rnacentral:tRNA from 1 species
UGCCCAUAUAGUUUAAAUUAAAAUGUUGGAUUGUGGCGCCAAAGAUAUAGAUUUCUAUUCUGGGCAG